rnacentral:rRNA from 1 species
GACGAACGCUGGCGGCGUGCCUAACACAUGCAAGUCGAACGGAGACAAUUAGUUCGCUGAUUGUCUUAGUGGCGGACGGGUGAGUAACGCGUGAGCAAUCUGCCCUUCGGAGGGGGACAACAGCUGGAAACGGCUGCUAAUACCGCAUGAUAUAUAUUGGUGGCAUCACCGAUAUAUCAAAGAUUUAUCGCCGAGGGAUGAGCUCGCGUCUGAUUAGCUAGUUGGUGAGGUAAUGGCUCACCAAGGCUGCGAUCAGUAGCCGGACUGAGAGGUUGAACGGCCACAUUGGGACUGAGAUACGGCCCAGACUCCUACGGGAGGCAGCAGUGGGGAAUAUUGGGCAAUGGGCGCAAGCCUGACCCAGCAACGCCGCGUGAAGGAAGAAGGCUUUCGGGUUGUAAACUUCUUUGACCAGGGACGAAACAAAUGACGGUACCUGGAAAACAAGCCACGGCUAACUACGUG